AUGGCAGCACCGCCGCCGCCGCCGCCGGCGCUCCCGGACGACGUCGUCGUCGAAGAGAUCCUCCUCCGCCUCCCGCCCGACGACCCAGGUUGUCUCUUCCGCGCCUCCCUCGUCUGCAAGGCCUGGAGGAACGCCGUCUCCCAUCCCCGCUUCCGCCGCCGCUACAUCGGGCUCCACCGCCACCGGGCACCCCCCGUGCUCGGCUUCCUCCACGACUGGGAAGACGGGGGCAUCCCAGACUUCUUCCCCACCACCGCCUCGCCCUUCUCCCUCGCCGCUCCAGACCGCCGGUUCUGGCGCCCCGUCGACUGCCGCCAUGGCCGCGCCCUCUUCCUCUCCGACCGCCGCCAGGAAACUCAGGAACUCCUCUUGUGGGAGCCAAUCACGGGCGCCCGUCGGGGCAUACCGGUGCCCGCGGCGUUCAGGUGCCAGUGGCCGGCCGCGGCAGUGUUCUGCACAGCGGACUGGUGCGACCACCGCGACUGUGCAGGAGGUCCCUUCGGCGUGGUCUUCCUCUUCGCCGGCGAACAAGACCGGCACGUUGUCACAUCGGCGUGCUUGUACUCGUCGGAGACUGGCACAUGGGGCAAGCUGAACUCGAGGCAAGAUGAGUUCACCAUGGAAUUUCAGAACCAUUCCAGCGUGCUGGUUGGGAGGUCUCUGCUCUACUUCCUGUCCGACGGUGGGACGAUCCUGGAGUACAAUUUGGACAGUGGUGUACUGGCUGUGUUGGAUAGACCACCUGACGAUUACGGCAGGGGCCGCCAAAGAUUUAACCUCAUGCUGGCGGAGGAUGGUGGACUGGGGGUUGCCGAAGCCAUUGAUUUUCAGCUCAUAUUGUGGAAAAGGGAGGCGAGUGAUGGCACUGAUGCACGAUGGGUGCUGAGCCGGAUCGUCGACAUGGACAGUUUCUUCGACCCAGUCACACUUGCUCCAGUGUUGGGCUUUGCGGAGGGAGCAAAUGCUAUUUUUGUGAAAAUUAUCUAUAGCCUCUUCAUGGUUGAGCUACAGUCGGAGCAGGCGAAAAUUGUGUGUUCUAGUCCUGGCUUCUGUAAUUUGAUUCCAGUUGUCGGCUUCUACACUCCACAUUCUAGGCUCCAAGUGCCCGGUGGUGAACACCACAGCCCAGCGCCGUGGCUGAAACAACUGGGAAGGGGUGGUCAGCAAGGGGUCUGGGAGGAGAAAUCACUAGAAUGGGCGCAGGUGCUGUUUGAUGAGGGGUGCAUGGCUAUCAAUGAGAAAGACUUGGCCUACACGGCUGACUGCUUCAGACAUGUUCUCGAGAUCAGGGUUCGACAUUAUGGAGGCCUUGCUCCUGAGUGUGCUAACACGUUUUACCAUUAUGGAGGUGCCUUGUUAUGCAAAGCUCGGGAGGCAGCCAAUCGUUCAGGUAAUGUUUCAAAGCGUGCACCAAAUGAAGAAGGGACAAACUUGCGUGGCAAAGGUCAGACGGAUGGGAACAUGACAGGCGAUGGAGAUGAUUCUGAUUUGGAUUUGGCCUGGAAAAUGUUGAAUACUGCAAGGGUGAUAGUUGCCAAGAGUCCAGAGAAGACAAUGGAGAAGGUUAAUAUAUUGAAUGCUCUAGCUGAAAUCUCCAUGACAAGAGAUAAUCUCAGCUAUCUCAGUUACCAUGUGUUAGGCUGGUGA
rnacentral:rRNA from 1 species